CACGGUGACUUGCAAGCAACUCACUGCACUUAGGCACUGGACUACCUGAAUUUCUAAUUCAAUGAUGGAAGGCUGCUGGGUGUAGUCAAGUACUUGACUUAUCGGUACGUGUGUCAAGAUGGGAUUGACCACUCCAGUUCAGGAGCUGUGUACAGUCGUGUUUCAAUUUAGCAAAAUCUUGGCUAGGGUAGUCCUAGUGAGGAGUCACAGGACUGAUUGAGUUGAGCAUGACUCGGAUGAUCUA
rnacentral:lncRNA from 1 species